rnacentral:rRNA from 1 species
AACCUGCCCCUAGGCUUUGGGAUAACCCCGGGAAACCGGGGCUAAUACCGAAUAGGACCUCUGACCGCAUGGUUGGUGGUGGAAAGUUUUUCGGCCUGGGAUGGGCUCGCGGCCUAUCAGCUUGUUGGUGGGGUGAUGGCCUACCAAGGCGACGACGGGUAGCCGGCCUGAGAGGGCGACCGGCCACACUGGGACUGAGACACGGCCCAGACUCCUACGGGAGGCAGCAGUGGGGAAUAUUGCACAAUGGGCGGAAGCCUGAUGCAGCGACGCCGCGUGAGGGAUGACGGCCUUCGGGUUGUAAACCUCUUUCAGCAGGGACGAAGCGUAAGUGACGGUACCUGCAGAAGAAGCGCCGGCCAACUACGUGCCAGCAGCCGCGGUAAGACGUAGGGCGCGAGCGUUGUCCGGAUUUAUUGGGCGUAAAGAGCUCGUAGGCGGCUUGUCGCGUCGACUGUGAAAACCCGCAGCUCAACUGCGGGCCUGCAGUCGAUACGGGCAGGCUAGAGUUCGGUAGGGGAGACUGGAAUUCCUGGUGUAGCGGUGAAAUGCGCAGAUAUCAGGAGGAACACCGGUGGCGAAGGCGGGUCUCUGGGCCGAUACUGACGCUGAGGAGCGAAAGCGUGGGGAGCGAACAGGAUUAGAUACCCUGGUAGUCCACGCUGUAAACGUUGGGCGCUAGGUGUGGGGGGCCUCUCCGGUUCCCUGUGCCGCAGCUAACGCAUUAAGCGCCCCGCCUGGGGAGUACGGCCGCAAGGCUAAAACUNAAAGGAAUUGACGGGGGCCCGCACAAGCGGCGGAGCAUGCGGAUUAAUUNGAUGCAACGCGAAGAACCUUACCUGGGUUUGACAUGGCCGCAAAACUGUCAGAGAUGGCAGGUCCUUCGGGGGCGGUCACAGGUGGUGCAUGGCUGUNGUCAGCUNGUGUCGUGAGAUGUUGGGUUAAGUCCCGCAACGAGCGCAACCCUCGUUCGAUGUUGCCAGCGCGUUAUGGCGGGGACUCAUCGAAGACUGCCGGGGUCAACUCGGAGGAAGGUGGGGAUGACGUCAAGUCAUCAUGCCCCUUAUGUCCAGGGCUUCACGCAUGCUACAAUGGCCGGUACAAUGGGCUGCGAUACCGUGAGGUGGAGCGAAUCCCAAAAAGCCGGUCUCAGUUCGGAUCGGGGUCUGCAACUCGACCCCGUGAAGUCGGAGUCGCUAGUAAUCGCAGAUCAGCAACGCUGCGGUGAAUACGUUCCCGGGCCUUGUACACACCGCCCGUCACGUCACGAAAGUCGGCAACACCCGAAGCCGGUGGCCCAACCCUUGUGGAGGGAGCCGUCGAAGGUGGGGCUGGCGA